UACGUAGGUGGCAAGCGUUGUCCGGAUUUACUGGGCGUAAAGCGUAUGCAGGCGGACCUUUAAGUAGGAAGUGAAAGGUGGAAGCUCAACUCUCACACUGCUCCCUAUACUGGGGGUCUUGAGUGCCGGAGAGGACAAGGGAACGGGUCGUGUAGCGGUGAAAUGCGUUGAGAUGACUCGGAACACCAAUGGCGAAAGCACUUGUCUGGACGGAGACUGACGCUGAGGCGCGAAAGCUAGGGGAGCAAACAGG
rnacentral:rRNA from 1 species